GUGUCCGGUAGCAGCCUUUGUUUACUGCCCUGCCCCACCCACCUCCCCAUGGAUGAAAAAGGGUAACUUACCUUUCAUCACAGGCCUUAAUGCUUUCUCUGCAGUCAGUCCUGCCUCCUUGGCCAAGAUCAUCAAGGCUAUUUAUCUCAGCCAAUCCAAUGUUUUCCUAAAGCAUUUGAGGCUACAGCGCAGCAAAUGUCACACUGUGCCAAUAAGAUGGUCUCUAUGAGAUCAUCUCAGGGGUGUGGAAUCUAAAAAGGAAAAAACAGACUUGUGUCCAUCAAAUUCAGCCUUCC